AGCGGGAAGAACGGAAAAUGUUUAUAGGAGGCCUUAGCUGGGACACUACAAAGAGAGAUCUGAAGGACUAGUUUUCCAAAUUUGGUGAAGUUGUAGACUGCACUCUGAAGUUAGAUCCUAUCACAGGGUGAUCAAGGGGUUUUGGCUUUGUGCUGUUUAAAGAAUCGGAGAGUGUAAAUAAGGUUAUGGAUCAGAAAGAACAUAAAUUGAAUGGGAAGGUGAUUGAUCCUAAAAGGGCCAAAGCCAUGAAAACAAAAGAGCCGGUUAAAAAAAUUUUUGUUGGUGGCCUUUCUCCAGAUACACCUGAAGAGAAAAUAAGGGAGUACUUUGGUGGUUUUGGUGGGGUGGAAUCCAUAGAGCUCCCCAUGGACAACAAGACCAAUAAGAGGCGUGGCUUCUGCUUUAUUACCUUUAAGGAAGAAGAACCAGUGAAGAAGAUAAUGGAAAAGAAAUACCACAAUGUUGGUCUUAGUAAAUGUGAAAUAAAAGUAGCCAUGUAGAAGGAACAGUAUCAGCAACAGCAACAGUGGGGAUCUGGAGGAGGAUUUGUAGGAAGAGCUCGUGGAAGAGGUGGUGGCCCCAGUCAAAACUGGAACCAGGGAUAUAGUAACUAUUGGAAUCAAGGCUAUGGCAACUAUGGAUAUAACAGCCAAGGUUACGGUGGUUAUGGAGGAUAUGACUACACUGGUUACAACAACUACUAUGGAUAUGGAGAUUAUAGCGACCAGCAGACUGGUUAUGGGAAGGUAUCCAGGCGAGGUGAUCAUCAAAAUAGCUACAAACCAUACUAAAUUAUUCCAUUUGCAACUUAUCCCCAGCAGGUGGUGAAGCAGUAUUUUCCAAUUUGAAGAUUCAUUUGAAGGUGGCUCCUGCCACCUGCUAAUAGCAGUUCAAACUAAAUUUUUUGUAUCAAGUCCCCGAAUGGAAGUAUGACGUUGGGUCCCCCUGAAGUUUAAUUCUGAGUUCUCGUUAAAAGAAAUUUGCUUUCAUUGUUUUAUUUCUUAAUUGCUAUGCUUCAGAAUCAAUUUGUGUUUUAUGCCCUUCCCCCCAGUAUUGUAGAGCAAGUCUUGUGUUAAAAGCCCAGUGUGACAGUGUCAUGAUUUAGUAGUGUCUUACUGGUUUUUUCAUAAAUCCUUUUGUAUUUAAAAAAAAAAAAAGAAAGAAAGAAAGAAAAAAGCAAAAAAGAAAAAAAA